rnacentral:tRNA from 1 species
UCCCAAGUGGUCUAGUAAUUAGAAUUCGUGGCUCUUCCCCACGCGGCCCGGGUUCGAUUCCAGGCUUGGGAA